rfam:Bursaphelenchus xylophilus, Ka4C1 (inbred line), WGS project CADV01000000 data, contig: scaffold00171
CAAUCGGCCCUCUUCAGGGCCACAAAAAGCUUUCAUUUUAUCGUUUU